ensembl:lncRNA
UGAGUGCAGAGAAAGACAAACUGAUUUGCUAUGUGCUUCCAUGGGCUUUGACCCAAAGAUCCCUUGGCUCAAGGCAGCUGACAGCUUAAUAAUUUCCUCUGGAAAGUAAGUAUCUCAGAAGAUGCCCAUCUCGCCUGGGCUGUCAGUGUGAAAGCCCCAUUGAAAACAAGGGUUAUCUUUUCCUACGGUGAACCUGGGUUUAUAUAUUCAGUCAAAAGAAGAAAAGAUUGAAAAGAUUUACAAUCAAGUGUAACAAUAAGUGGAGUUCAAUCUUUGUCGUUAUGAAAGGCCAGCAGAGAUUGAUUGGGAACAGCCAGCUCUUUCACAAGGAGUUUGCACUGUGAUUGUAUUUCAGCAAAUAAAGAAUUGCAUGACCUUCCCUUUCCAGGGUGCAAGAGGUUUGGUCGGCUGCCUGAAAGGAACCCAGGGUGCUGAAAGAAAUAGCUUAAAAACAAAGUCAGUAAUUAAAAAGUCUAAAGAUAAGAUUGUAGGUGAAAAAAAAAACCAACCCCAAGAGUGUGGCAUUCCUUGAAGCACAAGCUGAGGUGGAACAGUUAAAAGUCUGUUUCAGGGACACGUAAAACAGUGACAGAAGUUUAAGCGUUUAGCUGUGUCACUGGAUCUGGAGUUCUUGAGUUAAUUAUCAAGAGAAGUUUCAACUUAAUUCAUAUGCUGCAGUUAUCCAGACAAUACUGUUCUUCAGAAAAAGCUACUUUAAAAAAUAUUCAAGUAGUGUUUUGUGAAGCCCCUGGGAAAGUAUUCACACAACUUCACCUGGAAAAUCCCAUCCUUUUCACUGAUGGCAUAUGAUGACAGAGAACAGUCUGUUCUGGAGUAGAUUCUGUGGAAGUCUGGAUGAAACAACUUCCAGAGUAACUUACUUGCUGGAAAAUAUGAUUUUAAGUGACUCCUGCCUUUCAAGUUUGAUAGGAUUGAUUCUGUGAGAACGCCUGGCUUCAUUUAUGUAAUUAUCUUCAUUAAUGCCAAGAAGAUUCAAUCCUGAAUCUCUGAUUGAUCACCUGAGGCGAGCACUGAGUCAGCUGUGGGAGCACAGGUGAAGGCAAUUCACCUGUGUGACCUGAAGAGGUGGAGUCUGGCUGCACCUCUCCUAGACCCCAUGUGAGGGCUGACUGCUACUGAGAAAGGAUCUCUUUCUGGAGAUUACUCCUUUUGGAGUUUUCUUCUGUGAGCCUAUGACAUGGCAGAAUAUUCAACACAUAGCGACCAAACCCACGAGGGAACAGAAGUACGAGCACCAGCGAUGCAGUAUCUUCAGUAACCAUGCUGUUUUGGGUUCAGGCUUACACCCACCCACAUAUGUUGUAUUAUACCAUUGCAUAACCAGAGAUCUCAGGAGCCUGAAUUCUCAGUCUCUGUGGCUGCACACUGCAAUUGCUGUGCCAAUACGAAAAUAGUGGUAUCAUAUGCUGAUGCACCAUCCCGUCAAAGUGCUACUAGCGUGACUUUCCCUGAGACAUGGGGUAUUUCUGCAGGCCUUCAUUUCUGCAUUAGAAAUCCACCCAGUAAAAUGACGUGCUAAAGAGGAAAUUUCUGAAAACGUUUGUUAAUGCCUAUGUAAAUUACAGAUGCUUUCUGUAAUUGCUUGUUAGUACAGAGACAAAAGGAGGGUAACCCCCGGUUUGCUAUUUCUGAGGUAGUACUGAAAUCACACCAACGACAUAUGAAAAUAUGAAGCUCAGCUGGAGUCAGAGGGUUUGAACUUUGAUUGUGGGUAAAUGGCUGCAUAGUAUUACUGUUGACUGUGGAAGACAUCAGACUGUAUUUGUGCAAAGUGAACGUGUGCUUGCAGACGGUGAAACGGAGCACGCUGAAGGUACGGCAUGACUUUAUCCACAGGUGGUGUGAUGGAAGUUCUCGGAGCAGAGGGGAGGAACUGAAGGGAGAGAUGAGAGGGGCCAUGGGAGAGCGCUGAGGCGCCUCGUCGUGACCGGGGGCCUCCAAAGCUGCGGCGGAACUUUCUGCUCUGCUGUAUUUCACGUCACCCAAAGCGAAGGGUGAUCGCAAACCCUGCUAUCCUUUCUCACUAUCGGAGAGCUCAAGAAUCACCCUGUUAGAAACCUGUGUCACGAGAUACAGAAGUGAUUUCGGGUUCUGCGGCCCAGGAGCAAUUCGGCUGUGAGUUCAAAUGCGGAGAAAACACUGCACCUAUUAACACUGCACCUAUUAACGGUGACUGUGCCGCGUUACACCGGCGUUAUAGCAAACCGGGGGCCGUUCCGGGGUGGCCCAGAGGGCGGAAGAGCCGCUGUCGGUGUGCACGAGUUUGCAGCCCGCCCCGGGGCUCCCCGCACACGGCAGACACCGGGCCCCAGCG